AUGACAGGUUUUUUCUUGCUGGUCUUAGGCAUGGUCCUUUGCAAGAAAGCCAUCAUCCAGUUCAGACGAGCUACAGAAGAGAAUUCUGAGAAGGCAGUAAUUAAAUUUGAUAGUGAUGGGCCAUUAGUUGUUUGCAACAGUUCAAUCAAAACCAUCUGUCAGGAAAAGACGUUUCUUCUGGGAGGCAGCAACGAGGCCAGUCAGCCAGAGACCCUGCAGGGCACUACAAUGGGAUCAGGGUGCUUCAACAGCCUGGAGGGCCUGUCAGUAGACCCCCUGUCUCCACUUCAACAGCCCAGCAUCUUCCAGUCCACCCUCCAACAGCCUGGCACCCUCCAGUCCAGCCUCCAACAACCUAGCACCCUCCAGUCCACCUUCCAACAGCCUGGCACCCCGGUCAACACCCCCCAGCCUAGCACCCUCCAGUCCACCUUCCAACAGCCUGGCACCCUGGUCAGCACCCCCCAGCCUAGCACCCUCCAGUCCACCUUCCAACAGCCUGGCACCCUGGUCAGCACCCCCCAGCCUAGCACCCUCCAGUCCAGCCUCCAACAACCUAGCACCCUCCAGUCCACCUUCCAACAGCCUGGCACCCCGGUCAGCACCCCCCAGCCUAGCACCCUCCAGUCCACCUUCCAACAGCCUGGCACCCCAGUCAGCACCCCCCAGCCUAGCACCCUCCAGUCCAGCCUCCAACAGCCUAGCACCCUCCAGUCCAGCCUCCAACAGCCCAGCACCCUGGUCAGCACCCCCCAGCCCAGCAACUGCCAAUCAAACAGCUCCCUGCCAUCCAGCCCCCUGGUUAAUGUCAACAUCACCGUUAACUAUCCUGUGAACAUUGGAAACGGGCUGUGCUCCACCCCUACGAGCAGCACCCCCACAGGUUCCUCACAGGCUGAUUCUGAGGCUCCUCUUUCCAGGGAGGAGGAGUACGUGAACAUGCCACUGCAAGAGGGUGGCAAGGAGGCACUUACAGCAACACAGGAAAGUGGGCAUUAUAUAUAAAGACUGGGGAAUCAGAUAAUAGAUUGGGUUUUAAUGCUGUUUUAUAUACAGUAGUACAAGUAUGUACAAUGCCAACUCUAGCCUUUUGGGGGCCCAUAGAAAUGUUUUAUUUUGGGCCCCUUCCCCUUACGUUUGGGGGCUCCCUAGCAGUUGGAGGACCCCUAGUGGUUGGGGGCCCUAAGUGACCGCUUCUGUCGCAUAUGUCUGGAGCCGACCCGAGUAUUUACACAGUCAAGUGGAUGUGUUCAAACUUUUGACUGGUACUGUGUAUGUAUAAUAUAUGUAUCAUCACAGUAUGAUUGCUAUUGAAGCACUGUUGCUGACUUUGAAUAUUGAAAGAAGAUGGCACCAAAUGACUUCUUAUGCAGGGCCUUAGCUGAACACCGGAAUACAUUUUUAACAGUUGUUUAAAGAAUUACGAUUGAAGUGAAUGAUGUAAACUGUAAAUGUGGCAUAGCUCAAAGUAUGUGUAAUGAUUUUAGCAUAGGUAGGCAGUAACAUUUUAGUAUGUACCAUCAUAUUUUUUUAUUCACCAUUAUUCACUAUGGCCUAUAUGAGAUGUUGUAUUCUUGUGAGAUGAAUACAUUAUUAAACUUUCCAGUGUAAGUUUUUGCUCUUUUGCGAAACUGCAAUCGCAUACUAAACAAACCUGCUUUGUUUAUAGCCUUUCCCCUGUACAUGUUGAAGAGUCUGCAUAUGUUUUGUAAAUUUGAAGCAAUUGACUAGUAACAAGUUAAUGAGUCAUUUCACACAUUGCAUAAUGGUUUUAAAAUCUUAUAUUGCAGUGUACAAAAACAAGACAAACUAUAUACAUAGGGUAUACACAUUUAAACACAAAAAUUAUUUGAGGGUUUGCUUUGCAUGACCAUUCAUAAGCCAUUUGCAAUUAUUUUUACACUUAUUACAAUAAAGAGAUUCAUGCAGUAUAUGCUGUUCUGAUUUUAAAUAAAAGUAAAACAUAUCAAGCUGAACAUCUUUGAAAUGUCAGCUCAUCUAGAACCCACAAAUGAGGGAUGAUAUGACAUUUUUGUACACUGAACAAACCAAUUUGUGCACAACAUUUGAGGGAUAUUUUCUGUGUUAUGGAAUAUUUCGUUAUAUUCUUUCUCAGCUUAUAAAUAAUAUGACCAAAAAUAUACGUGUUGCAUUUAGAUUUUUGUUCAGUAUAUAUUUUGUGAAUGGAUUGGUCAAAGAUUUGUAUAACUCGCCAUGGCUUUGCUUUUAAAUUAAACUAUGUAUCACCACCUACUGGUGGAAUCAAACAUUAUUAAACUGUGUAGGUCAUAAUGUAUGUAUGUAUUAUUUUCCUCAACGUUUUCGGUUCUAAUAACCAGUAAGUAUAUUUUGUUAAACGGAAUUAUAAUCGCCUGCAAUAACAUAAAAGGUUCAUGGAUACAUAAAAUAUAAACUAGAUAUACGUAGAUUGACGCACCAAUCCAGCAG
rnacentral:lncRNA from 1 species